rnacentral:rRNA from 1 species
GACGAACGCUGGCGGCGUGCUUAACACAUGCAAGUCGAACGGAAAGGCCCUGCUUUUGUGGGGUGCUCGAGUGGCGAACGGGUGAGUAACACGUGAGUAACCUGCCCUUGACUUUGGGAUAACUUCAGGAAACUGGGGCUAAUACCGGAUAGGAGCUCCUGCUGCAUGGUGGGGGCUGGAAAGUUUCGGCGGUUGGGGAUGGACUCGCGGCUUAUCAGCUUGUUGGUGGGGUAGUGGCUUACCAAGGCUUUGACGGGUAGCCGGCCUGAGAGGGUGACCGGCCACAUUGGGACUGAGAUACGGCCCAGACUCCUACGGGAGGCAGCAGGGGGGAAUAUUGCACAAUGGGCGGAAGCCUGAUGCAGCAACGCCGCGUGCGGGAUGAAGGCCUUCGGGUUGUAAACCGCUUUCGCCUGUGACGAAGCGUGAGUGACGGUAAUGGGUAAAGAAGCACCGGCUAACUACGUG